rnacentral:rRNA from 1 species
AGUGAACGCUGGCGGUAGGCCUAACACAUGCAAGUCGAACGGCAGCACAGUAAGAGCUUGCUCUUACGGGUGGCGAGUGGCGGACGAGUGAGGAAUACAUCGGAAUCUACUUUUUCGUGGGGGGUAACGUAGGGAAACUUACGCUAAUACCGCAUACGACCUACGGGUGAAAGCAGGGGAUCUUCGGACCUUGCGCGAUUGAAUGAGCCGAUGUCGGAUUAGCUAGUUGGCGGGGUAAAGGCCCACCAAGGCGACGAUCCGUAGCUGGUCUGAGAGGAUGAUCAGCCACACUGGAACUGAGACUCGGUCCAGACUCCUACGGGAGGCAGCAGUGGGGAAUAUUGGACAAUGGGCGCAAGCCUGAUCCAGCCAUACCGCGUGGGUGAAGAAGGCCUUCGGGUUGUAAAGCCCUUUUGUUGGGAAAGAAAAGCAGCAGGUUAAUACCCCGCUGUUCUGACGGUACCCAAAGAAUAAGCACCGGCUAACUUCGUG